CACAAUGUGACAGUAUCUUUCCACUUUCCCCCUACUCCUGAAUGUCUAAAGAACUCUCAAUGCAUAUUAGCCAUCACCAUGGUUGAGACCCAGACCUCUGCAGAGACAAUCUUGAUCCUCUGGCUCCUGCUUCACAUUGCCCAUUCACCCUCAGCACUGAAAUCCUUACCUCAAGCGCUGGGAAUUCAGGCCAUGGAAGAUUAGGAGGCUCACAGCAGAUUCUGAACUCCCCGAGAGCGGCAACCCAUAUCUUAACUCUCUUUGCAUCAACAGAGCCCAAUACAAUGCCUGGCACAGAGUAAGCCUCAAAUAUGUCUAUGAUAUAAAUUUUCUAAUAAAAUGUCUAUGGUAUCUAUUGUCUAUCUCAGAGUGAAUUUAAGAAAUUCAACAUCUCUUACAAAUCUAGAUCAUUCACUUAACAGAAUGGCAUUACCAUAUUAUCAGUAUGCACAGACAAUCAACCUCAAGCUCUGCUUCGGGGAUAUAUAACAACUCUAACUCUUAUCUCACUUGAGAAUGGGGGAAAAUGAUGACUAAAUUGAAGGCCACUAAAAAAUGGUAGGGAAGAGAACAAGGUACAACAUCGUUUUGUUUAAUCAGAACCAAGAUGAAACCUCAUCUGCAUAAAGAUACUUCAGUGCCUUCUCAUCCCCUGAAAAUGUUAAGCAUUUUCUUAAAAAGAGAUUGCUGCGGUUUCUAACAUGUGCC
rnacentral:lncRNA from 1 species